UGAGGAAUAUUGGUCAAUGGACGGGAGUCUGAACCAGCCAAGUAGCGUGCAGGAUGACGGCCCUAUGGGUUGUAAACUGCUUUUGUGCGGGGAUAAAGUGUGGGACGCGUCCCAUAUUGCAGGUACCGCAUGAAUAAGGACCGGCUAAUUCCGUGCCAGCAGCCGCGGUAAUACGGAAGGUCCGGGCGUUAUCCGGAUUUAUUGGGUUUAAAGGGAGCGUAGGCCGGAGAUUAAGCGUGUUGUGAAAUGCCGCGGCUCAACCGUGGCACUGCAGCGCGAACUGGUUUUCUUGAGUGCGCGCGACGCAGGCGGAAUUCGUGGUGUAGCGGUGAAAUGCUUAGAUAUCACGAGGAACCCCGAUUGCGAAGGCAGCUUGCGGGAGCGCAACUGACGCUGAAGCUCGAAGGUGCGGGUAUCGAACAGG
rnacentral:rRNA from 1 species